rnacentral:rRNA from 1 species
UACGAAGGGGGCUAGCGUUGCUCGGAAUCACUGGGCGUAAAGCGCACGUAGGCGGCUUGUUAAGUCAGGGGUGAAAUCCUGGAGCUCAACUCCAGAACUGCCUUUGAUACUGGCGAGCUUGAGUUCGGGAGAGGUGAGUGGAACUGCGAGUGUAGAGGUGAAAUUCGUAGAUAUUCGGAAGAAACACCAGUGGCGAAGGCGGCUCACUGGCCCGGUUCUGACGCUGAGGUGCGAAAGCGUGGGGAGCAAACAGG